UACGUAGGGUCCGAGCGUUGUCCGGAAUUACUGGGCGUAAAGAGCUCGUAGGUGGUUUGUCGCGUUGUCCGUGAAAACUCACAGCUCAACUGUGGGCGUGCGGGCGAUACGGGCAGACUGGAGUACUGCAGGGGAGACUGGAAUUCCUGGUGUAGCGGUGGAAUGCGCAGAUAUCAGGAGGAACACCGGUGGCGAAGGCGGGUCUCUGGGCAGUAACUGACGCUGGAGGCAACGAAAGCGUGGGGAGCAAACAGG
rnacentral:rRNA from 1 species